UGAAAUCAGUUCCGGCUUACGCCAGACAAAUGC
rnacentral:sRNA from 1 species